UGGGUGGUCCAGAUCUAAGUUGAGGGAUUUGAGCAAGAUCAAAUACUACCAGUGUAAUGAAUUAGGACAUCGAGUCAGAAAUUACCCAUAGCUCAAAGAUCGGAUGAAAGCUACUGUAGCAAUGGUCUAUGGUAGCAACACUGAUGAGACUAAUGAUUUGUAUAUGAUCUCUGAUGAGGAAUCUACUUCUUUUUUUUAGUAGAUUUUAGAUUCAGCUUGCUCGCAUCAUAUUUAUUAUAGAGAGGAGCUAUUUGACUUUCUAGAGAAU
rnacentral:lncRNA from 1 species